UACGGAGGGUGCGAGCGUUGUCCGGAAUCACUGGGCGUAAAGGGCGCGUAGGCGGCCGUGUAAGUCGGGAGUGAAAGCCCGGGGCUCAACCCCGGAAUGGCUUUCGAAACUGCUGAGCUAGAGUACAGAAGGGGCAACCGGAAUUCCCAGUGUAGCGGUGAAAUGCGUUGAUAUCAGAAGGAACGCCGGUGGCGAAAGCGACCCACUGGAUCUCUACUGACGCUGAGGCGCGAAAGCUAGGGGAGCAAACGGG
rnacentral:rRNA from 1 species